rnacentral:rRNA from 1 species
AGGGUUUGAUUCUGGCUCAGGAUGAACGCCGGCGGCGUGCCUAACACAUGCAAGUCGAACGGAGUUAUUUUGGAAAGUUCCUUCGGGGACUGGAAUCUAUAACUUAGUGGCGGACGGGUGAGUAACGCGUGAGCAAUCUGCCUUUAGGAGGGGGAUAACAGUCGGAAACGGCUGCUAAUACCGCAUAAUACGUUUUAGAGGCAUCUCUUGAACGUCAAAGAUUUUUAUCGCCUUUAGAUGAGCUCGCGUCUGAUUAGCUAGUUGGCGGGGUAACGGCCCACCAAGGCGACGAUCAGUAGCCGGACUGAGAGGUUGAACGGCCACAUUGGGACUGAGACACGGCCCAG